CUCGUAGGUGGCCAACUAAGUCAGACGUGAAAUCCCUCGGCUUAACCGGGGAACUGCGUCUGAUACUGGAUGGCUUGAGUUUGGGAGAGGGAUGCGGAAUUCCAGGUGUAGCGGUGAAAUGCGUAGAUAUCUGGAGGAACACCUGUGGCGAAGGCGGCAUCCUGGACCAAUACUGACGCUGAGGAGCGAAAGCCAGGGGAGCAAACG
rnacentral:rRNA from 1 species